GACAGAGGGUGCAAACGUUGUUCGGAAUUACUGGGCAUAAAGGGCGCGUAGGCGGCGCGGUAAGUCACUUGUGAAAUCUCUGAGCUUAACUCAGAACGGCCAAGUGAUACUGCAGUGCUAGAGUGUGGAAGGGGCAAUCGGAAUUCUUGGUGUAGCGGUGAAAUGCGUAGAUAUCAAGAGGAACACCUGAGGUGAAGACGGGUUGCUGGGCCAACACUGACGCUGAGGCGCGAAAGCCAGGGGAGCAAACGGG
rnacentral:rRNA from 1 species